GCCCCGAGAUGAGUUCUCCCUGAGACUUUAAGUCUCCUGAAGGAACGUUGAAGACGACGACGUUGAUAGGCCGGGUGUGUAAGCGCAGCGAUGCGUUGAGCUAACCGGUACUAAUGAACCGUGAGGCUUAACCUUACAACGCCGAAG
rnacentral:rRNA from 3 species